GGGUUUGGAGAGCACUGAGCACUUCCAAAGCAAAUCCUCCCUUUUAUUUUGUUCUCCUUCUCCCGCAGGGAAUUCCUGGGACACCUGGACCCAAAGGCAACAAGGUCAGUGCCCCCUUCCCAGGAAAGUCAUGAGCAGAAAUCCUGGGAUGGGAAUGGGACAAAUCCCUGCCUUCUCCUGGCUCCUCAUCCCUGAGCCCAUCCUGCUUCAUCCCAUUCCACCCUCGCUCCCUUCCUCCCACGGUUCCUGGAGCACCCUCCGGAGAGAACAGCAGAAAAUCCAUGGAAUUGGGUCUCCUGAGUCUUCCUGGGACUUCAAUCCUGGCCAAACUAACCAGGAAUUGUGUGGUGGGAUUUCCCUGCUCCCGGUGACACCUCUGGAAUUCUCUGUUUUCCAGGGAGAAGCCGGCGUUGGAGCCGCCGGCCCCAGAGGUCCCCAUGGAUUCCCUGGCCCUCGGGGUGACGAGGGCAUCGUGGGAAUGCGGGGUCCCCCCGGAAUGAUGGGUCCAAAAGGCUUCCCAGGCAUGAAAGGCCAAAGAGUAAGAACUGAUCUUAUCUAAAACUCUUAUCUGCAAUUCUUAUCUUAUCUACAUCUUUUAUCUUCUCCAUUCGGUGUCCUGGUGUUGUGGGGAGCAGCUGCCCUUGUAAACCAGUGGGAAUCAUCCCAAAUCUCCUGGGAAUGG
rnacentral:lncRNA from 1 species